AUACGGAGGGUGCAAGCGUUAAUCGGAAUUACUGGGCGUAAAGCGUACGUAGGCGGUCCGUUAAGUUAGAUGUGAAAGCCCCGGGCUUAACCUGGGAACUGCAUUUAAAACUGGCGAACUAGAGUUGAGUAGAGGGGAGUGGAAUUUCAGGUGUGGCGGUGAAAUGCGUAGAGAUCUGAAGGAACACCAGUGGCGAAGGCGACUCCCUGGACUCGAACUGACGCUGAGGUACGAAAGCGUGGGUAGCAAACGGGAUUAGAAACCCUAGUAGUCC
rnacentral:rRNA from 1 species